rnacentral:rRNA from 1 species
AUUGAACGCUGGCGGCAGGCCUAACACAUGCAAGUCGAACGAGUGGCGGACGGGUGAGCAAUGUCUGGGACACUGCCUGAUGGAGGGGGAUAACUACUGGAAACGGGAGCUAUUACCGCAUACCAUCGGAUGUGCCCAGGUGGGUUUAGCUUGUAGGUGGGGUAACGGCCCACCUAGGCGACGAUCCCUAGCGGGGCUGUGAGGAUGACCAGCCACACUGUACCUGAGACACGUUCCAGACUCCUACGGGAGGCAGCAGUGGGGAAUAUUGCACAAUGGGCGCAAGCCUGAUGCAGCCAUGCCGCGUAUAUGAAGAAGGCCUUCUGGUUUUAAAGUACUUUCAGUGGGGAGGCGUUACCCGCAGAAGAAGCACCGGCUAACUCCGUGCCAGCCGCCGCGGUAAUUC